rnacentral:rRNA from 1 species
GAUGAACGCUGGCUACAGGCUUAACACAUGCAAGUCGUGGGGAAACGGCAUUAUGUGCUUGCACAUUCUGGACGUCGACCGGCGCACGGGUGAGUAUCGCGUAUCCAACCUGCCCCUUACUUGGGGAUACCCCGUUGAAAGACGGCCUAAUACCCGAUGUGUUUCAUUGACGGCAUCCGAUAUGAAACAAAGGUUUUCCGGUAAGGGAUGGGGAUGCGUCUGAUUAGCUUGUUGGCGGGGCAACGGCCCACCAAGGCGACGAUCAGUAGGGGUUCUGAGAGGAAGGUCCCCCACAUUGGAACUGAGACACGGUCCGAACUCCUACGGGAGGCAGCAGUGAGGAAUAUUGGUCAAUGGACGCAAGUCUGAACCAGCCAAGUAGCGUGCAGGAUGACGGCCCUAUGGGUUGUAAACUGCUUUUAUGUGGGAAUAAAGUGGCGCACGUGUGCGCCAUUGCAUGUACCUCAUGAAUAAGGACCGGCUAAUUCCGUGCCAGCAGCCGCGGUAAUACGGAAGGUCCGGGCGUUAUCCGGAUUUAUUGGGUUUAAAGGGAGUGUAGGCGGUCUGUUAAGCGUGUUGUGAAAUUUAGGUGCUCAACAUUUAACUUGCAGCGCGAACUGUCAGACUUGAGUACACGCAGCGCAGGCGGAAUUCAUGGUGUAGCGGUGAAAUGCUUAGAUAUCAUGAGGAACUCCGAUCGCGAAGGCAGCCUGCGGGAGUGUUACUGACGCUUAAGCUCGAAGGUGCGGGUAUCGAACAGG